AUGCCAGGUGCAGGACAUCUGGGGUGAUCCUAGGAUGUCCCAUAACAGGUGUGAAUGAUCUAAGUUCAUGGAAUUUAGUAUAUAAAGGAACUAGUUCUUGAGUUCAUAAGCACACUUGCAACAAUUUCCUAUUCUACAACUUCUGGAGCUUGCUAAGGAUAAGGAGAAGAUUAUCAAGUGUAGAAAAGACAGCUAGGACCAUUAGUACCUCUCGUAAUAGGCUGGAGCUAUAGGGUGUCUUC
rnacentral:lncRNA from 1 species